rnacentral:tRNA from 1 species
GGAGGCAUCGCAUAGUGGCCAAUUGCAACAGGUUGCUAACCUGUACCGGUUCUCCGGUUCCUGGGUUCAAAUCCCAGUGCCUCCGCCA